UGUUGUAAAUAAACAUAGUCGGGAGUGCCGACAAUUAGAGAUACCCUAAUGCGAGCUCAAAGCGUAGCAAGCCCGAAAAUAUCUACUCAAAAUAUUCCAUAAAAAAGACAGUCGAGUUACAUUUUGGCCCCCUGCCCCCAAAAACAUUGUUGAAUGUGCAGCUCCGAGAAAGAACGUCUGCGUCUGCGUCAGCGUCAGUUUUGGCCUUAACUGCUGAUGGAUGUCUCUGGGGCAAUACAUCAAACCAAAUUAGCCGUUUGUGGCUCGUGUGCCAGAAAAGCUGAAAUGUGAGGCACAAAAGAGAUUGAAGGCGGGCUGACAGACGCACAGCUAGACUUCUACUGUCGCUCAGGUGGGUUGGCGCGUUGCACCUUUCCGGAGAGAGGUAUGCCUGGGAAUCUUCAUGGGACAUGCAAUAAAAGUGCUGGCAUAAUCCAAAAUGGCGUCGCAUAAAGCCCACAUAAAGGAACCAGGACCAAACAGAAGCCUCAACAGCCACAGAGUGCUAUCAUCAGUCGACCAUUGAAAUGGUUCAAUUUCACACACGCUUAUUCCAAAAAAAAGGAGGAUUUUCCAGAACAUAAGUUGAGUUGAAGCUACAAAAGAAUUGAAGCCCCAAAAAAGACAAUUAUAUUGGCUCGAAAGAACAAUUUGUUUGUUUAAAUUCGAAAACUAAAGUUCGAGCCGGCUAUUAACUUAAAAUAUCAACCAAUAAUAAAACAUUGAUUAGACAAUAUCCCAAA